rnacentral:lncRNA from 1 species
UGUAAAGGCAGUAGCAAUACCAUCUAACAAGCUGGCAGAUUCUUUCUGACAACCAGGUCUAUGAAUGCCUAAAGAUUUCUCUUGUUACACAAUCAUUGUAUAUACAGCCAUACACUCACUAAAUUGGCCACAUCAUUAGCCUGUGAUGGAUUAGAAUCCGAAGAACUGAAAUACCGACUUCAAAACCAAAGUUUCAGGUUUCAUUAAUUUAGCUUCCAGUUACCAAUCUAGUUAUAUAUUUCAGAUAUUUCAGAUUUUUUUUUAACUGCUCUUUUUAAACCCAGAAAUACAUUAUCAUUCUUAGGGAAGAUGGUGUAUUACAUCUUGGCAUAGGUAACGUUACCUAAAGGAUAGGCAAGGUUUCUGACCUGUGUUCGUAUUUCAAGGUAAUGCUUUUGUAGCAUUCUUGUUAGACCUUGUUUACACAGUAGUCAACUUCAUAAUGACAUCUCAUUGUUAUACCCGAGUCCCCAGCCAUAUAUAUAUCAACCACACAUGAUUUGCUUCCAUUGAAAAGAAGUCGCAGUAGGCAUGCACACAAUAGAGUUGCCAUUUUGUUGAUGACAGAAGUCAGCACCAUUUUGUGGCUGCAGAUCAUGAGAAGAUUAAACUGAAAACCUAUGACAAUGAAAUGCCAAGGAAAUGUCCAGAUUUCGUUGACAUCGUAGAGAUGUUUACGAAAGAGGGUAUUUCAAUAGCUGCACUAAACUUAGGGGGUUUGUUGAAGAGGUUUUAUGAUUUGCGCUGCUUUCCUGGGAUUAGAUAAGUUCAGGCUGUUCAGCAAAUGCACGAGCGAGGGGAGAAGUGGGUGUGCUUUUGCCCUUGCUACUUUGGCAGCAGUUAACGAGCUCUUAAUAUUUCUUUCAUCAACUAGCUGCUGUGUUGGUACGCUUUGACAAUUCCAAAAUCCCUUUCCUCUGUUCCUCCUUCCUUUCAUUGCCCUUGCAAGCUAGACUACCUGAGGGUUUACAAAUGUCUGCAGCAGGAGGCGGUGGUGGCUGGCGGUGAGCUCCCACCCCCGCCACAUGUGUGUGUGCCCAUGUGAUAUCGGGGUCGUCAUUGCAUCUUCCGCUGAUGCAUAUGAGUUGUUCAUCACAAUCAUCCAAGUGUUUUGCAUGGGCCGUUGCAGGAGGUGGUUGCUGUCGAGUAUGUGAGGAGGGGGAGGGCAGUACAAGUGAAGUUGAGGGCAAGAGCUUCCCAUAGUACUACUGGAGCAUUUGCCAUUUAAUGAGGAGGAGGGGGAUGAUGAUUUAGAGGAGGAAAGUUUAUAGUACUUGUAUAGUCAUAACCUGAAGCUAAGAUGACUUCAUUUUUCUUGCGUCUGUUUCACGGUUAGCAUUGCUUUUCUGAAAGACAAAAACUAAAAAGUACUUUUAUUGCUUGAACGGACCUUGGGUCAAAUCCAGUUAUUAUCAGAAACUGAGAUCUCUGGUAAUCGUGAUCCCCCAUUUCCAACAAAGUUCAACAAGCUCUUCCAGCACCCGCCUCAUGAACUGGAAGGGCAGCAACCCUGUUUAUGCUACAAUAAGUCACAGCAUAUCUUACAGAUAUAUUACAAGACAUAAACUUUCAUCUAUCUCAUCAAUCUGAAGCAGAGCGCAAAAGUCAAACAAAAGUUCUAAUUAACAUUAAUCAUACAGUUCCAUUUUUCAAUAAUAUGCAAUUCCAUUUUGCAGAUGAUGAACUACAACAACAAAAGAGCUGCAUAGGAAUUAGAGAGCCAGCAUAACCUAGCAGUCCUGAAAAAAGCCACAUAGGAUAACUAAUGCAUAUCAUGAUUCAAACAAUCUCCUAAAUCUGCUCGGAUGCAGCAUCCUCAUAGUUUGCAUUUUCC